UCUUUCAUACAUAUCUCGUUGAAAACACUAGUUCCCGCCCGAUCACUUAAGUUAAGCAACGUCGAGCCUAGUUAGUAUAUACAUAGGCGACCGAUUGGGAGACCUAUGUGCUGCAAGUA
rnacentral:rRNA from 1 species